rnacentral:rRNA from 1 species
AUUGAACGCUGGCGGCAGGCCUAACACAUGCAAGUCGAACGGUAACAGGAAGCAGCUUGCUGCUUUGCUGACGAGUGGCGGACGGGUGAGUAAUGUCUGGGAAACUGCCCGAUGGAGGGGGAUAACUACUGGAAACGGUAGCUAAUACCGCAUAACGUCGCAAGACCAAAGAGGGGGACCUUAGGGCCUCUUGCCAUCGGAUGUGCCCAGAUGGGAUUAGCUAGUAGGUGGGGUAACGGCUCACCUAGGCGACGAUCCCUAGCUGGUCUGAGAGGAUGACCAGCCACACUGGAACUGAGACACGGUCCAGACUCCUACGGGAGGCAGCAGUGGGGAAUAUUGCACAAUGGGCGCAAGCCUGAUGAAGCCAUGCCGCGUGUAUGAAGAAGGCCUUCGGGUUGUAAAGUACUUUCAGCGGGGAGGAAGGGAGUAAAGUUAAUACCUUUGCUCAUUGACGUUACCCGCAGAAGAAGCACCGGCUAACUCCGUG